CCUACGGGAGGCAGCAGUGGGGAAUAUUGCGCAAUGGGCGAAAGCCUGACGCAGCGACGCCGCGUGAGGGAUGAAGGUCUUCGGAUCGUAAACCUCUGUCAGCAGGGAAGAACGGUCACUGUGCUAAUCAGCAGUGAAUUGACGGUACCUGCAAAGGAAGCACCGGCUAACUCCGUGCCAGCAGCCGCGGGAAUACGGAGGGUGCGAGCGUUACUCGGAAUUACUGGGCGUAAAGCGCUCGUAGGCGGUAUGUGAAGUCAAGGGUGAAAUCCCCGCGCUCAACGUGGGAACUGCCUUUGAAACGGGGAAACUUGAGUGUGUGAGAGGAUAGUGGAAGUCCAGGUGUAGGGGUGAAAUCCGUAGAUAUCUGGAGGAACAUCAGUGGCGAAGGCGACUAUCUGGCACAUAACUGACGCUGAGGAGCGAAAGCGUGGGUAGCAAACAGGAUUAGAUACCCGGGUAGUC
rnacentral:rRNA from 1 species